AACUGUAAGUAUAUUCUAAAACUGAGCUUUUCUUUUCCAGUGUUUUUCUGGAGGAAGAGCAAUAAAGUUCGUGGCCACAGAGGUGCUGGUGGGAUGGAUGCGGUUCUGGAUCUGAGCUCUAAUCACAAUUGCAGCAGCUGUACCCAGAGGACCAGUGCUGGAUCCCCACUCUGGGGAAGGCAAUGGCUGUGCACCCUGGAGCUCAUGUUCACUGGGGAUCUGCAGGUAGAGCCGGAGUUGGGGUGCAGCCAAGUUCUGCUGCCGCAGAGGAAGGGGAACCUGGCCGUGUUCAUCGCACCACAGAGGGACAGCCUCCGAGUUCUCAGGAAGCUUUUUAAUGUUUAUUUGCGAUGA
rnacentral:lncRNA from 1 species